CGGCGCUGCGCGCAGCGGGUCCGCGGCCCUGCGCUGUGGCCUUCGGGGCGCCGGGAGAGGUUGUAGCGUUCUGCCUUGCCGCGGACAGUCAAUUCUGAAACAGCUCUGUGGAAAAGCAAAUCCAAGAAUUUAGUCACAGGGGAGCCUAGAACUUGAUCCAGUACAACUUCCUUGUGAGGGGAAGAGGGGCAGACACUGAUCUCAUCUCUCUGAUGCUCAGAGAUACAACCUGAAGGAAUGGCUGGAGCUGAGUCAGGAGGUUUAUGUUUGGUAUUAUGGGAAAGUUCUUCCCCCAGAGGGUGGGCAGGCACUGAACAGGCUCUCCAGGGCAGUGGUCACGGCCUCAAGGCUGCCACAGCUCAAGCAGCAUUUGGACCAUGCUCUCGGGUACAGGGUGGGAUUUUUGUGCAGGGCUAGGAGUUGGACUUGAUGGGUCCCUCCUAACUCAGCGUACGCUGUGAUUCUGUGUUUAAAUACACUGGGUUUAAAAUAAAAAACAUUGUACGUCAUUGUUAAGGGAAAGCUACACAUUUUCACUUGAAGUGAUUCAUUUAAUAUGUACAUGCCUCAGAGUGUAAAGGCCAGAUUCUCUCAAGCUGAUACUGAUACUGCUGGAUAGUUUAUAAAUCCUCAGCACAGACACAUGCAGACAGUAGCAAUGCAGGCCUUCCUGCUGCUCAGCUGG